UUCCUCAAUAUAAACUCACACAGUACUCUGUCUCUGUCUCUCUUCAUCUACCACCAUCUCCCACAUCUACCACCAUCUCCCACCACCACCACAACCAUCCGCCACCACCUCAUUCUUCACCGAUAACUGAUCUACAAAGAACCACCACCCUAACUUGCCCCUCUCUCCUCAUCAAAACCCACCACAACCGCCAUCAUCUAACUACCACACAUUGCCUGAACCGACACCAUCUCUCUCCCUCUCUCUCGCAUGCAACCAUUACCUUGUUCAUAACUAAGAUCUGUAAAACACCUGUCAUGCAGGUGUCCCUAAAAGUUUCUUUGUUUUCAGACUUCAUCUUAACAACCGUCAGAUCAAAUUGCAGAUUUAGAAACGAGCACUUGAGUGUCAUCAUUGAACCGUGAAGAACGCGCACGAUUUAUGGCAGGGAGAGUAUUGGAGUUAACACUCCGAAUUGAAAAUCAAGAUAUACACAACUAUUACCCAAACAGUGAAGAGAUCGAAAUCUCUGUUGUUGACUCGUAUGUUUGUUUUCCGCUGGGAAAAACCCCCUUUAGUGGCAACAUUGUUUGUCCCGUAUGGAAAAGAAGGUGAUAUGUUGUAUAGUACACAUAUCGGUCUUAAGAGGCUUCUCAAUCAAAUUUAGAAAUGUGGUGCGACUGAUCAUGGUGAAAUCAAAAGAACAAUCACCCAACGCAUAUAGUCGUCUAAAAGAUCUCCACAUCCGUAACAACGACACCGACCCGCGUGCACUAUACAACAUAUCACAUUCUCUUCCAUACGGGACAAACAGUGUUGCCACUAAAGAGGGUUUUCCCACCGGAAAACAAACAUACGAGUCAACAACAGAGAUUUUAAUCUCCUCACUGUUUGGGUAAUAGUUGUGUAUAUCUUGAUUUUCAAUUCGGAGUGUGAACUCCAAUACUCUCCCCGCCAUAAAUCGUGAAGAGUCAGGAUAUAUGUGUUGGCAUCCGCAGUCCGAGAUGGUUAAGCCACCAAGAAAAUGUGCGAUAUGUAAACAAACUAUUUGAUGCACAAGAUCACUCGGUGUAUGGAAAUUAUGUUGAAGAUCUUAAGAUUUCUGUAGAAGAGGGCCUUGGGAUGCAAUUCGGGAGAAGGACGAGGCUCAAAUAUGUCCCACAUUUCUUUCAAGCAGAUUGUGUCUUGGAGGCUAAACAAAAUGGCGCAUCUGUCAUAGAGAGUUUGGAAACUCUAGUGGAGGGCAAUCAAGACGGAUUAGCCUUCACAAUUGACCUUGAGAAACUCGAUAUGCAUACACAAACUAUGUUAUAUGGAAGUAAAGUAAUUAAAAACCAUUUAAACGAAAAGUAUGUUACAUGGAAGUAAAGUAAUUAACAACCAUUUAAACGAAAAGUUUGUGGAUUCUGCUGUUCAGAUACAAGUGUUAUAUCUAGGUUUUGGAGACCUUGAAAGAGUUCCUAAGAACAAAUUUAAUGCUGAGGUAUUGAGUGUAGAGAAGGAUCGUGAACUUGAGGACUUUGGAGAGACACAUUUCAGUUCUUCCAUUGCCGAUGAAUGGGAAGGCUUGAACUUAAUUUAUAAAUUUGAUGCGGGUGAUGUUAUUGUUGCAUUGGGAGGUAUAGAAGCGACCAAUCAAAGCAUUGAUCUCAUUGAAUCAUGUGAUCCUUACAAGAGUCGCACAUAUGAUCUUGUAUUUGUAGACAUGAUCGAUCUUGAUAUUUACCCCAUGGUGGGAGCAUGUGCGCCCCCACGUGGCUUCAUAAAUGACUUGGUUUUCAACAACAUUAAGCAUCUUCUUCACCAACAAGGGGCACUUGUGAUUCAUGUGAUCGCACCUGAUUGCUUUUUCGAAAUGGACUUGAAAAAUAUUUUGGAAAAUCACUUUCUAAUGAUUUAGAAGUUAAGCUUUGAAGAAGAUUUUGAGUUUUUAAUCGUUGCGGCCAACUCAAUUAGCUUUGCUACUAUCCAAGAAAACGAGGAGAAUGAGGCUUUUGGGAUAAUCAAGUCCCUGAUAACACAACGCUUUCACAUUGCUAAAUUUAAGGGAGCCAAGCUAUCUACUUCAUGAAGGGUAUGAUGUCUCUCUUUUCAACAAGCCCUAUAUAUACAUACAUCUGGACACCUAAGGGUGGGCGGAGUGGGUUCGGUGAGUGGAGCGGGGAGAGGACUUUGCCGCGCGGCGAAGUGGUUCCGGCCUUCAAUCGGUGAGCAGUGAGUGGUUUGGGCGGUGACUUGUCACCGGCUCGGUGAAGAAGAGAAAGGUGGGAGAGAGAGGGUGAAUGGUUUCAACCAAUCACAUUUUUUUUAAAUUGUUUACCACUCUCCAUGUAUUAGACCAUUGCUAGUGAUUGAGUGCAAAAUGGGGCGUAGAGUGGGCACUUGACAUGACAUGACAUUAUUGAGAAAUUAUGGUCAUCUUAUUUGGUUUUGGUGAUGAAUGAUGAAUCUUGGUUGCAUCUUUUAAAGCUCUGUUAAUCGUUUUGUUUUUAUUUGGGAUCGGUGUGUUUGUUUGAAACGAUGUUUGGAUUUAUCGUUGUGUUUGUUUAAAAUUAUGUUUGGAUUUAUGGUGUCGUUUUAAUUUGAAUGUUGGAUUUAUGUGGUUUAACCUAUAGAUGCUUUUAA